UCUGCUGAUGUCCGAGAAAAUUACAAAAAAAGCACGGCAUCGGCUUAAGCUGCCGAGAAUACGUAAGUUCCCCUACUUUACUUUUGCUUACAAUGAAAAUAAUUUGGUGUGAAAUUAGUUUGUACAAAGUAGAUCCAUGAUAGCAAGACACGUUCGUCGGCAGCAAAUAUCAAGCAUGUAAAGGCAAUAGUGUCAAUCAUGCUCGAUAUUUGCAAUCGUGCGGCGUUAUUUGUGGUAUAACCUGUAGGUGUGUAUUGUGUACCGAAUACAUCCUAAUAUAUUUAUCCACAAUAUUUCCGGUUUUCUAGAAGGAGUAUUUCAUUAUUUUCGAACGUAAAUUCUACAUUACCAUGCAAUCCCACACUCACCAUAUGUGUAACCGUUGGAUAUUAGGGAAAUAAAAGUUGAUAAAAUGUGAA